AGAGUUUGAUUCUGGCUCAGCGCGAACGCUGGCGGCAUGGUUAAAACAUGCAAGUCGAACGCGAAAGGGAGCAAUCCCAAGUAGAGUGGCGGAAGGGCGAGUAACAUAUUCCUAACGUGCCCCAAGGUCAGGGAUAGCUCAUCGAAAGAUGUGGUAAUACCUGAUGACACUGCGAGAUUGAAUGAUUUUGCAGUCAAAGGCUUGCUGCCUUGGGAGCGGGGAAUAUCCUAUCAGCUAGUUGGUGAGGUAAUGGCUCACCAAGGCUAAGACGGGUAGCCGGUGUGAGAGCACGGCCGGCCGCAUCGGGACUGAGACACUGCCCGGACUCCUACGGGAGGCUGCAGUAACGAAUAUUCCACAAUGGGCGCAAGCCUGAUGGAGCAAUGCCGCGUGCAGGAUGAAGCCCCUCGGGGUGUAAACUGCUGUCAGGGUUCAGGAAAUAAAUGACCAGACCCAAAGGAAGAGGCGGCUAACUCUGUGCCAGCAGCCGCGGUAAUACAGAGGCCUCGAGCGUUGCGCGGAAUCACUGGGCUUAAAGGGUGCGUAGGUGGAUACACAAGUGCCUUGUGAAAUCCCAGGGCUCAACCCUGGAACUGCUUGGUAGACUGUGUGUCUUGAGGUCGGUAGGGGUCGCUGGAACAGUUGGUGGAGCGGUGAAAUGCGUAGAUAUCAACUGGAACGCCAAGGCGAAGGCAAGCGACUGGGCCGAUUCUGACACUGAGGCACGAAAGCGUGGGGAGCAAACGGGAUUAGAUACCCCGGUAGUCCACGCCCUAAACGAUGUACACUAGAUCGUGGAGGCUCUGACGCCGUCAUGGUCGAAGCAAAAGUAUUUAGUGUACCGCCUGGGGAGUACGGUCGCAAGAUUAAAACUCAAAGAAAUUGACGGGGGCUCACACAAGCGGUGGAGCAUGUGGCUUAAUUCGAAACAACGCGAAGAACCUUAUCCAAGGCUUGACAUGCACGGAUUAGUUUGCUGAAAGGUGAAUGACACUCGCAAGAGUGGAACGUGCACAGGUGCUGCAUGGCUGUCGUCAGCUCGUGCUGUGAAGUGUCGCGUUAAGUCGCUUAACGAGCGAAACCCCUAUCAUUAGUUGCUACCAGGUAAUGCUGAGGACUCUAAUGAGACUGCCGGUGUCAAACCGGAGGAAGGUGGGGAUGACGUCAAGUCCUCAUGGCCUUUAUGCCUUGGGCUGCACACGUGCUACAAUGCAGCCGACAAUGCGAAGCAAGACCGUAAGGUGGAGCAAAUCACAAAAAAGGUUGCCCAGUUCAGAUUGAGGUCUGCAACCCGACCUCAUGAAGUUGGAAUCGCUAGUAAUCGGGGAUCAGCUACGCCCCGGUGAAUAUGUUCCUGAGCCUUGUACACACCGCCCGUCAAGUCAUGGGAGCCGGGAGCGCCCGAAGUCGCCCUAUUUCAAGGGUGCCAACGGCAAGCUCGGUGACUGGGACUAAGUCGGAACAAGGUA
rnacentral:rRNA from 1 species